GAAUGAGAGCGUGAAACUGGAAGUAAAAAGGGAGGAGAAGGAAGAAAAAUAACCUGAAAAUGUCAAACUUUAAUUCCCAAGAUGCUGCAUGAUUCCAGGUCUCUGCUGCCACAUCAGUUCUGGGCCAGAGACAAGGAUACAUUAUGACAGGGAAACCCAAGUCCUAAUAAGUGUAAUUUAUGCUGCUUCUUGUCCAUCUUGCACAUCAAAUGAACAGCCUCUGUGGAAAUGGGCAUAUGUCCUUAAAUACUCUGAAUCAGCAUAAAGACAUCUUCAGUACACUGGCAGUCUACGUAGUAUAUCAUUUCAUUAAUGGCAGUUUUCAAAAUUAAAGCUAUGCCACCACAAAGCCAAUAUCUGAUUUCAAACACUUUGAAGACAGGAGGAAACUCAAGAAUACAGAAUCCAUCUUUCUCAGUGAAUUGCCCAUCACCAAGCUGGUUUUACAUUUUGCAAGGCUGUUGACUUCAUCCAGAUAACUGUUGAUCUUUGUCUUGUUGAUGACUUGUUUACUGGCAAAUACUGUCUUCAUGUUAUUUUGAAGUUACAGAUAGACAGAAAAGUGAAAAAUUGACUUCAACAAUCAUACUUUUUUUAAAAAUUG